UCCAGACUCCUACGGGAGGCAGCAGUGGGGAAUAUUGCACAAUGGGGGAAACCCUGAUGCAGCGACGCCGCGUGAGUGAAGAAGUAAUUCGUUAUGUAAAGCUCUUUCAGCAGGGAAGAAAAUGACGGUACCUGAGUAAGAAGCCCCGGCUAACUACGUGCCAGCAGCCGCGGUAAUACGUAGGGGGCAAGCGUUAUCCGGAUUUACUGGGUGUAAAGGGGGCGUAGACGGCAGUGCAAGUCUGGAGUGAAAGGCGGGGGCUCAACCCCCGGACUGCCCUUGGAACUGCAUGGCUGGAGUGCGGGAGGGGCAGGCGGAGUUCCUGGUGUAGCGGUGAAAUGCGUAGAUAUCAGGAGGAACAUCGGCGGCGAAGGCGGCCUGCUGGACCGCGACUGACGUUGAGGCUCGAAAGCGUGGGGAGCGAACAGGAUUAGAUACCCGCGUA
rnacentral:rRNA from 1 species